AGGCGCCUGCCACCACACCUGGCUAAUUUUUAUAUUUUUAGUAGAGAUGGGGUUUCACCAUGUUGGCCAGGCUGGUCUCAAACUCCUGACCUCGUGAUCCACCUGCCUGGGCCUCCCAAAGUGCUAGGAUUACAGGCGUGAGCCACCGCACCCGGCCAGGUGAAAAAAAUUUAUCCAACUUUCUCAAAUCCAGGAAAUGGGAAAAACUGGCCUUUUUCUGACAUUCACCUCUCUCGCCACCACCAGUAGUUAAUAAGAAACCUGGUGACCUGAGCAAAAUAUAUUUCUAACCAAUAUCAUUUUUUUUCAUCUAGCAAACAUUUAAGCCUAGUAAGUGCUGUUCAUUUUGCUGUUACCAAUAAUACACCUUACAAUAGCAGCUACUAGUUCUUGAAUUCUUCUUGGUAGGUCCUACAUUAACACUGGCAAGGAUUAUCUCAUGUUAUCUUUACUUGUGUGGUAGAGACUAUAAUUGUGUCCAGUUGCCAAAUGAGGAAAGCAAGGCUUGGAGAGGUUCCAUUACAUUUGCCGUGGGCAUAUAGCCAGUAGCUGAUGUGUAGAUCAGGGAUUUAAACACAAUGCUGUCUGUGCUGGGCCUUCAGGAGGGUGGGUGAGUAUAUGUGGCUGAACAGUGCAUGCUGGGUACAUGGGAGGGAGCCACAUGCUGCAGGGGAGGGAGAGCGGGUGCAGUGUGACUUUGGUGGGGAUGUGGUUGACAGAGAAGAUAUGUCUUGGAGAAUGAGUGAGGGUUUAUCAGUCAGAGGAAGGGAAUUUCAUGCAUUUUGGGAGGAGGUAGGAGCGGAGGUGGAGAGAGCCACUGUUUUGACCUCUUGUAACUUUGGAGUUCUGGGGUUUUGGCUUUUCAGAGUCACACACCCUCCAGACCACGGUUGUCUGUGAGUUGCUGGGGAACCGGAGCAGCUGGGGACACUGGCACUACAACUGUGAUGGCCAGGACUCCCUUCUUAGCACACUUGAGUCUUUCAACUCCAGCAAAAGCCAGCCAGAACCAAGCAUAGCUGCAGAAGGAGAGAAGGGAAGGAAACAAUCCUUCCUGACCUAGAGCUGCGUCUACCCUCUCCGGAAACACCUGAAAGCUGGGGUGGGACCACGGCCCACCGUAGGUGUGAUAGGUGCGGACUGGUUCAUGUGGGGAAGGUGGAGGAGCUGAGGGCACUGUGGGAGGGAUGGAGUGCAGGCCCCUCAGCCAGCCUUCAAAACUCCAUUUCAAUACCCAUGUCCUAAAUGAACACAGCUCUGUUGCUGACCGUCCUAGCCACUCUGCUUUCCUUCCCUCUCCCGUGCUUGGUCAGCCCUUUUCCCACUUGGUGUUCAAGUUCUGACCCAGGGCUGAGCACCCAAGGGCUCUCAAGGUGGGGCAUCACCUACAGUCACCAUGGAACACAGUGGAAUGGUGCCUAAAGCCCUGGUGUGGAGGAUGUACGGCAGCUUGAUAGGACCAGAGGCAGCCAGUUUGUCUGGGAGGUCUUUGCCACCACUUUUCCCUGUCCCGCUAGCCCCCUUGGUGCAUGGGACUCUCUGCAAAGCCCCUGGAGAGGAGCCAUCCCAACAUGCUAGGCCCUUGACUUCUAUCCUCCAGUGUCCAGCUAACUUAGCUGAGGGAUGGGCUGCCCCAGCCCCUGAGUCCCUGGAACCCUAAGCCACUUGCCCCCUUGCAUGGCGCUGCUCAGAUGCCCAGAGCCAGCAGUCUGCUGUGAUCCCUUUGACGUGAGCAUAGGCUCUCCUGUCUGGUGAUGCACCAGGCUGAUGCUGAGUCUCUGUGCAACCUCAGAUGAGCAGCUGGGGUUUGGAGGCAUGUAGCAAUGCAGUUGCCGAGUGCAGUGGCUCGAUCUCAGCUCACUGCACCCUCUGCUGCCUGAGUUCAAGCGAUUUUUGUUUCUCAGCCUCCUGAGUAGCUGGGAUUACAGGCAUGCACCACCACAUGCAAAAAAAACAAAACAAACAAACAAAAAAACCACCUUUUGGUAUUUUUAGUAGAGACAGGGUUUCACCAUGUUGGCCAGGCUGGUCUCGAACUGCUGAUCUGAAGUGAUCCGCCCGCCUCAGCCUCCUAAAGUGCUGGGAUUAUAGGCAUGAGCCACCGCUCCCGGCCUCCUCCUAUAUCUCUUGAUCAAACUUCAGGGGAAAACCUGCCAGAUUCCCCAGGAAGGAUGCUUGGAGGUAGGUGGCAGGGUACAGGGAGGCCUAUGCCAACUUCUCAUUGAACACCACUCCCAGCUUUCCUACCCCCAUUUCUCUUCACAGGUGUGCAGAGAAGUCUACAUUCCCAUGUCAAGUAAGGGGGGUGGGUAGAUGGGAGGGCAUAUGAGAGCGGGGCAGCAAUUUUAUGUCUGAGUUGGAAGGAAGUUUAGAGUUCAUUGAGUCCAAAUCCUCUUUACUAGGUGAGGAAACUGAGGCACAGGAGGGGGAGGUGCCAUUAGCCAGGGAGUCAGAGCCAGGACUUAGAACCUGGUCCAUGCCUCCUAGUUUGUUCCUGACCAAUCCUCCCAGCUCACCCACUCCUUUUGCUCUCACCUCUGACUCCCUACAGGCUACAGCUAGAGAGUUGACUCCUCUAUUUGAGAUUGACAGGCCUCGGAAGUCAAAAUAAGUGGUUUCCUAGACCGGGUCGAGAGCAAGUCUCUAUUGGUCCCAACUGAGUUUUUUCAGCUGGUUUUUCAACCAAACAGCACCUCAUCUCCCAGUGAGGGGAAGGGAAGGCUGGGCUGAGAGCAGCAAGGCUGCUCAUCUCACCUCUCCCCACCCAGCCAUGCCAGCCGCCUCACCUGGUGGGGAGAGGUGGGCCUCACCUGGGUCCCCUGGCAGUGCUCUGUGAAGGGUCUUGACAUUGCACUGUAAUAAUAAAGGUGUGUGUGAAGUAUCUUUUUAUGGUGACUUUCUAAAACCCAGGGAAUCAUGGGACCAGUUCUGAUGACUCAGCCUGGCUUCCAGUCUCCUCCAGGCCCAACGGUGGCCCCCAGCACUGGUUGGGGCCUGGGAGAGCUGGCCUUGGCUGAAGUGAAGCCACCUACCCUUCAGGCAUAACAGGACAGUGAGAAGGAAGGAAAGCCUGCCUCAACCUCCCAUCAGCCCUGAGCACCCCAGAAGGGGGCCGGCUAGGAGUCUAGGCAUGCAGGAGGCUGACCCCUGACUGGGCUCAUAUCCAGCCACAAGGCAGCCAGGGAUCCAGGCACCCACCCCUUGUCUGCGUCCCUCUCGGGAAUGGGCCUCUUGCCCAGGCCAGAAAUACACCACCUACAGUACAAAUUAUAAUCUAAAAACAAGAGGGUGGUGUUGAGUGGGGAAAUUGGGGAAGGUGUUUUAGGAGCCACUAGGAAAAUGGGCAGCAGGGACUCUCUGGACUGGCUUGGGAAGAGCGCUUUUGGGGAACCUGGAGGAUGGCAAGCUGAGAAACACUGGUGUGGAGAUUCCAGCCAAAUCCCAGGCCUGCCCCUCCCCCUCCUCUGAGAGGCCGUCUUCUUGGCAGACAGCAGAGAGAUGCAUGACAAAGGUGCCGUGAUGGUUCUGUCCUGGGGAUUGAGAUGGCUGGGGAGGGGCCUCCUCCUGUUCCGAAGCAUGUUCCUCCCACCCCCACCAGGCCCCAUAAUCUACCUGCCUUUUGGGCAGUUAAAGGCCGAGAAGUGAACACAGCUGCAACCCCACUGCCUUGUAGACCUUCCGGCAGACCUGUGGCAGGUAUUGAAAUGCACGCAUACAAUUAGGCUCAAAAAGUCUACACAGACAGGAGAUGGGCACACGAACAGAGGCAACAUAAGAGUGGGGGAAAAGUCUCAAAAGACUCACGGAUGCCACCAAGAUGAAGACAGCUGGCCACGGGACACCCAUCCCCUUAGAAGGCAGAUAGAGCCACUGACCCCAGCAGACAAGCCCAGGCAGGGCUGAGCCUGGAGCCUGCAAUGAGAAGCCUUACUUAAGUCGACAGAGGUCAGCGUGCCCAGUCCAGACCUGGCCUUCUGGCCUUCGAAGCUGUGGGGAGCCCUGGCCCAGAGCCCCCUCUGGAGCCCCCAGACUUACCCCAGGCCCUCCACUGAGAUCAAGUUUUGGGAGCAGACAGACAAACAUCAUCCCUCACAGACAGGCAUUCCGUUGGCUAUUCUCUUGCAAACAGAAUCAAGCACUAGACCAGCAGCAUGAGCCUCAGGAUACUCAGGCCAGGCCCAGAAAAACAGACCCUGAAGGGGAGCUUAGGGCAGCCUUCCUGCACGCCUCCACAAAUCACUCUCCACCUCCUCUGCGUCUUUCUGCCAGCCAGCCCCACUAAACAAAGCACAUCCCUCAAUCUGCCAGGCUCGGGGAGGGACGCACGAUGAAGCUGGACGCCUGAGUCCCCCAGAGGAAGGAGGAACUAGAUACCUAGGUCCCUGUGGGGGGCCCUUGGUGCCCGUCUGAGGCUCAGUCUUUGAGGGGAUUGCAGAGGGGGGUUGCUGGAGCUCCUUUUAGCGUCUCUGAAGGGGAUUCUGUGUGAGGGGAUUGGGACUGGGGGGUUGGGGAGCAGGAAGCAGUCCCCAGGGGAGCCAUCCAGGCCCAUUCAAGGGUUGAGCACUUGUUUAGGGUUAGAGCUGCCCCCUCUGGGGACCGGGAUUGUCCAGCCAAGGCCAUUGUCCUGCCCCCUUCCCCCAGUCCCUCCCAGGCUUCUUUGAACCUGAAGUCAGAUAUUUUUUCUCCACACCCCCCACCCCCUGGUUUUCCCCACCCAGGGCCUAGGGCUGGAGGCCUGGGCCAGGGAGGUGGGGGAGGGAGAACGGGGCCUACCGUGGUAUUAGAUGUCUGAGUUUUGGUUGAGAGGGGAGCAAGGAACCUGAUGUGCAGGUUCCAUAGUGGAGGGGGCCCAAAGCGGGUGUCUUAUCACUCUGUUUCAGCAAAGGUUGGGAAACUGAGGCCCAGUCAGUCCAAAGUCUGGUCCCUUGAAGGGGAAGUAGGGACCAACCCCUUAGUCUGUUAGAUGAGGAGAGUCUGGAGUCUGAUUCUGGAAGACGGAGGGGUGGGGG
rnacentral:lncRNA from 1 species